rnacentral:rRNA from 1 species
AUGUUCCCAAUUCGCAUGGCAUGGCUGCUCCCACUGAGUUCAGCGCCGCAAAAUGAGUUCCGUCCAGAGCAUUAUGAAGCAACUGACCAGCACGUCCUUUUUUAUCUGAAAGACAGUAGUAGCCACCUUGAGAAUUUACAUGAUUUCCAUGCUCGAAGACAUCUCCACUCCAACAUUCGCAAUGUGGGAAAGAUGAAGCAUCUGCAGGUGCUCAAAGAAUUCCAUGUUAAAAAUGAGAGCAUGGGAUUUGAACUGACAGAACUUGGGGCAUUGCCAGAGCUUGAAGGAGGAUUGACUAUACGUGGUCUUGAACACGUGGCAACCAAGGAGGAAGCUACUGCAGCCAAACUGAUGUUGAAAAGGAAUCUGAAGGAGCUGGAAUUACUCUGGGGCAGGGAUGGACCAACUACAGAUGUUGAUAUUCUUGCAAGCUGCCGUGGGCUAGAGAUGAGCCAAACAGAGCUGAUGGACCAAUUACUGUGGGCUAGAGAUGUUCCAACUGCAGAUGCUGAUAUUCUUGAUGCUCUUCAACCGCACUCUAAUCUUAGAGUACUUACAAUUGCAAAUCAAGGUGGUACCGUCGGUCCUAGCUGGUUGUGUCUUGACAUCUGGUUAACUAGUUUAGAGAGACUCACUAUAGAAGGCGUAUGUUGGAGCACCCUCCCACCUUUUGCAAAGCUACCAAAUCUCAAGGUACUCAAUUUGAAGAAAAUUUCUGGAAUGCAUCAGUUUAGGCUGCAAUGUGGUGGCGCUCCAGGGAAAUGUUCUAUGCGCUUGAAGACAAUUGAGUUUCGUGAGAUGCCAGAACUUGCUGAAUGGGUUGUGGAACCUAAUUGCCAUUCCUUUCCAAGUCUUGAAAAAAUCGAAUGCUUCCGUUGUCCCAAUCUCCGUGUGAUGCCCUUGUCGGAGGUAUCUUGCGCCAAUUUGCGUAGACUUGAAGUUUAUGGGUGCCCCAAGAUGUCUCUGCCCUCCAUGCCUCACACCUCCACACUGACAUAUUUGGUUGUUAAAAGAGAUAAUUCAAGAAGAAACCUUCGGCAAGAUGGUUCAGGAGCGUUGUUGUCUUAUAAUGGAAAGAAAUUGGUUGUUAAUGGGUAUGGCGGUGCUUUGGCCUACCACAAUCUGGAUAAAGUAGAAGAUAUGGCUAUUGCAAAUGUAUCGCACAUAUCAUUGACAGACCUUGAAAAGUUUAAAUCCCUAACAGAACUAUCUGUCGGAAGAUGCGACGGUUUGUUCCCUGAGGAGCUUGAUGGCAGUAUUGUCUUGCGUUCAGUUAAGAGUCUGAGAUUAGUUGUAUCUCAUCUUACCAGCAGCAAAUCAUCAUCGUCAAAAGUGUUAAACUGUUUCCCAGCUCUUUCUGUGUUGUACAUAUAUGAAGAUGAAGAAUGUGUAAUGCAGUUCCCAUCAUCCAACUCACUGCAGAAACUUCACUUCUAUGGCUGCCACGGCCUGGUUCUUGAGCAUGUGGAGAAUGGAGGAGGAAUUCAGGAGCUCCAAUCAUUAUCAAUAUUCAUGUGUGGCAAAUUGUUCUGUCGGUGGCCCAUGGGAAUGGGAGAAUCAGAGACCAUUUGCCCUUUCCCUGCUUCCCUGAGGGAACUUGAUGUUGCCGACGAGCCAAGCAUCAAGUCAAUGGCUCUGCUCUCAAACCUCACGUCUCUCACCACUCUAAGCCUAAAAGAGUGCCGUAAUUUAACAGUGGACGGAUUCAAUCCUCUCAUCGCAGUCAAUCUCAUAGAACUGCAAGUGCAUAGCUGCAGCACCUUAGCAGCAGACAUGCUCUCAGAGGUGACCAAAUUAUUGCCUGCGGGUUACAUCUCUAGAUUGGAGAAACUCAAUGUGAAUAACAUCUGUGGCUUGCUUGUUUCUCCUAUUUGCAACCUCCUCGCCCCGACCCUCCACACUCUUGAAUUGGCGAGGAUGGAAAGCUUCACGGAAGAGCAAGAGAAAGCGCUGCAGCUCCUCACCUCCCUCCAGAAUCUAAAAUUUUCCUAUUGUGAGCAUAUGCAGUCUCUCCCUCAAGGGUUACAUCGCCUUUCUUCUCUCGAGGAGUUACGUGUCGUUUCGUGUCCAGAAAUCCGAUGGAUGCCCAGGGAGGGCCUCCCGGUUUCGCUGCGAAAACUAUAUAUGAAUCCUCACAGUGCUGAGAUCGACGAGCAAAUUGAGAAAAUCAAAAGGACAAACCCAAAUUUAUCCGUCUCUUGA